rnacentral:rRNA from 1 species
UCCCGUGUUUUAUUGGGUUUUAAAGGGGUGCGCAGCUGGUUUAAUUAUAUUGGGUGGUGGGGAGGUGUGUUCGACAAAAGCUGGGGAUAGCCCUCGACACGGUAUGGCGUGGAAUCGGGAUGUGUAAGCCGAAUGUUUAGGGGGAGGGGGUGAAAUGCUAGACAUUAGACGGGACGCUGGAUUUGAAGUCAGCUCACUAAUGCAGGUGUGCGGAUGAGGCAUCAAAGCCUUGGAAUCAAAACAGGAUUAGAUAACAUAGUAGUCCACAUUGUAAACGAUGAUCACUCGCUGCUUCCGAUACACAGUAAGCCGUCCACGCGAGAGUCGUUAAGUGUUCCACGUGAGGAAUACGAUCGCAAGGUUGAAACUCAAAGGAAAUGACGGGGACCCGCACAAGCGGAGGAACAUGAGAACCAUUCCCCGAUACGCGAGGAACCUUACAAGGGCCUAAAUAGGGAGAGACAGCUGACGAGAGGUCAUGUCCUUGGAACAUUCUCCAAGGUGCGGCAUGGUAAUCGUCAUUUCGUGCCGUGAGGUGUCGGGUUAAGUCCCAUAACGAGCGCAACCCUUGCUGUUAGUUUCCAGCGGGUAAUGCCGGGGACUCUAGCGUGACGCCCACAAUAAGGUGAGACGAAGGACGGGAAGCCGUCAAAUCAGCCCGGGCGGAACGUCCAGGGAUACACACGUGUUACAAUGGCCGGUACAAAGGGCAGAGACACCGUGAGGUGAUAGUAAUCUCCAAAGCCCGUCCCAGUUCCUCUCGAAGUCUGCACACUUCAUUGGUGAAGUGGGAUUUGCUAUUACUUGUGCAUCACC